rnacentral:rRNA from 1 species
CGGUUGAUCCCGCCGGANGCUACCGCUAUUGGAGUUCGAUUAAGCCAUGCGAGUCGAGAGUCCUCGGGACUCGGCGUACCGCUCAGUAACACGUGGGUAACCUGCCCUAUGCUGGGGAAUAACCUCGGGAAACUGAGAAUAAUGCCCCAUAGCCCACUACGCCUGGAACGGUGAGUGGGUCAAAGCCCCGGCGGCAUAGGAUGGGCCUGCGCCGUAUCAGGUUGUAGGGGGUGUAAAGUACCCUCUAGCCAUCAACGCGUACGGGUGUUGGGAGACAUUGCCCGGAGAUGGAUUCUGAGACACGAAUCCAGACCCUACGGGGUGCAGCAGGCGCGAAAACUUGGCAAUGCGAGCAAUCGUGACCAGGGAACUCCAAGUGCGUAGGGUAAGACCUACGCUUUUCUUGACUCUUCAAAGGUCUUGGAAUAAGGGGUGGGUAAGGACGGUGCCAGCCGCCGCGGUAAUACCGGCGCCUCAAGUGGUAGUCGCUUUUAUUGGGCCUAAAACGUCCGUAGCCGGUCUGGUGCAUUCGUGGGUAAAUCAACCCGCUCAACGGGUUGAAUUCUGCGAG